rnacentral:lncRNA from 10 species
GCGCCCAGCCCAAUGCUUUCUUUCUUAUUUUCUUUUUUUUUAUAGAGACAGGUCUUUCUCUGUUGCCCAGGCUGGAGUGCAGUGGCACAAUCAUAGCUCACUGCAGUGUCAGCUUCAAGUGAUCCUCCCACCUCAGCCUCCUGAAUAGGUGGGACUACAAGCAUGUGCUACCAUGCACAGCUAAUUUUUAAAAUUUUUAAAUAGAGACUGGGCUUCACUAUGUUAUUCAGGCUGCUCUCAAACUUCUGGCCUCCCAAAAUGUUGGGAUUACAGGCAUGAGCCACUGCGCCUGACUGAUGCAAUCAGCAAUCUCCUGCAACCUCUGUCUCCUAGGUUCAAGCCAUUCUUCUGCCUCAGCCUCCCGAGUAGCUGGAAUUACAGGUGCACACCACUACACCCAGGUAAUUUUUGUGUUUUUAGUAGAGACAGGGUUUCAC